CCUACGGGUGGCAGCAGUGGGGAAUAUUGGACAAUGGGGGGAACCCUGAUCCAGCGACGCCGCGUGAGUGAAGAAGUAUUUCGGUAUGUAAAGCUCUAUCAGCAGGGAAGAAAGAAAUGACGGUACCUGACUAAGAAGCCCCGGCUAACUACGUGCCAGCAGCCGCGGUAAUACGUAGGGGGCAAGCGUUAUGCGGAUUUACUGGGUGGAAAGGGAGCGUAGGCGGUUACGCAAGUCUGGAGUGAAAGGCGGGGGCCCAACCCCCGGACUGCUUGGGAAACUGUAUAACUGGAGUGCAGGAGAGGUAAGUGGAAUUCGUAGUGUAGCGGUGAAAUGCGUAGAUAUUAGGAGGAACACCAGUGGCGAAGGCGGCUUACUGGACUGUAACUGACGUUGAGGCUCGAAAGCGUGGGGAGCAAACAGGAUUAGAUACCCCGGUAGUC
rnacentral:rRNA from 1 species